UAUCUCACUAUAUUGUUCGCCAGAGUACUACAAGCGCUAGCUUAAAACCCAAAGGACUUGGCGGUAUCCCACACCCACCUAGAGGAGCCUGUUCUAUAACCGAUAAUCCCCGUUAAACCUCACCACUUCUUGCCAUUACCGUCUAUAUACCGCCGUCGUCAGCUAACCCUGUGAAGGAUCAAAAGUAAGCAAAAUGAAUAAAACUCCAAAACGUCAGGUCGAGGUGUAGCAAAUGAAGUGGAAAGAAAUGGGCUACAUUUUUUUAUAAAAACAUACGAAUGGUAAACUGAAAAACACCUAAAGGUGGAUUUAGCAGUAAGAAGAGAUCAGAGUACUCUUCUGAAAUUGGCCCUGGGAUAAGCACACACCGCCCGUCACUCUCCUUAAUAAAUAACCCACUUUUCUAUAAAUAUACUUCUUUAAUAAGAGGAGGCAAGUCGUAACAUGGUAAGUGUACUGGAAAGUGCACUUGGAAUC
rnacentral:rRNA from 1 species